rnacentral:tRNA from 1 species
GCCGGAAUAGCUCAGUUGGUAGAGCAGGGGAUUGAAAAUCCUCGUGUCACCAGUUCAAAUACUGGCCGUCGUUUU